GAUGAACGCUAGCGGCAGGCUUAAUACAUGCAAGUCAAGGGGGUAGCAAUACUACCGGCGCACGGGUGAGUAACACGUACAUAACAUACCAUAUACUGGGGUAUAGCUUUGGGAAACUGAAGGUAAUCCCCCAUAACAUUUGCGAGAGGGCAUCUGAUUGCAAUUAAAGUUUCGACGGUAUAUGAUUGAUGUGCGUUUGAUUAGCUUGUUGGUAGGUAACGGCCUACCAAGGCGACGAUCAAUAGCUGGUCUGAGAGGAUGAUCAGCCACACUGGAACUGAGACACGGGUCCAGGACUCCUACGGGAGGCAGCAGUAAGGAAUAUUGCUCAAUGGCCGAAAGGCUGAAGCAGCAACGCCGCGUGGAGGAUGAAAUACUUUUGUAUGUAAACUCCUGUGAGAAGGGAAAAUAUGCAGAUUUUCUGCGUUGAUUGUACCUUCAGAGGAAGCCCCGGCUAACUACGUGCCAGCAGCCGCGGU
rnacentral:rRNA from 1 species